CCCACCUGAUUCCAUGCCGAACUCAGAAGUGAAACACAAUAGCGCCGAUGGUAGUGUGGGGUUUCCCCAUGUGAGAGUAGGACAUCGCCA
rnacentral:rRNA from 1 species